UACGUAGGGUGCAAGCGUUGUCCGGAAUUAUUGGGCGUAAAGAGCUCGUAGGCGGUCUGUCGCGUCGGAUGUGAAAAUCAGGGCUCAACCCUGGACCUGCAUUCGAUACGGGCAGACUAGAGUUCGGCAGGGAGACUGGAAUUCCUGGUGUAGCGGUGAAAUGCGCAGAUAUCAGGAGGAACACCGGUGGCGAAGGCGGGUCUCUGGGCCGAUACUGACGCUGAGGAGCGAAAGCGUGGGGAGCGAACAGG
rnacentral:rRNA from 1 species